GAACGCGGCGGGGGCAGGGCCGAGGGCGGGCACCGCCUCCCCGCCCGCGAGCUACCCAGGUCCGAGCAUGCCCAGUGCGGCGGUAACCCCGCGGCCCCGCCGGCGAAACCGCGGGGCCCUCUGGCGCUGCCUGGCCGGGGUCUUCCUGGUCCCCAGGCCGGCCCGCUCCGGCCUCGCAGCCGCGGCGUCUCCCAGGCCCGUCCUGCCCUCGUAAGCUGGGCCGCGCCCUUCCCGCCUCCGCCUCACGGGCUCUGCCUCAGUUUACCGACUGUCAGCGAGGCCAGGAUGGUCAGGAGACUGCGCGCCAGGUGCACCCAGGAACCGCGUUGCAGGUUCCUUUCCUGGGGAGGCUGCGCGCCCAGGCACAGCCACUACUCCUGCUGCUGCUCUCAGAGGGCAGGCAGAGUGCAGAGCUCAGCAGGUCAACAUCCGGAUUCCAUGUUUUAGCAACGGGGCCCGGGAGUCAGCCCCUGGUGCCUGUGGCGGGUCUGUCGAGGUCCACUGCCCCUCAGAUGCUGCUGGGUCACCAGGACCUAGACUCACCCAGUCUUUGUUGCUGUUCAGUGAGCACAUGGCUGCCCCGCACCGCGAAUUAUGUCCCCCGAAAGAGGCAAAAGGCCACGUGAAGACAGAGACACCGGGAGAAGCCUGCGAAGGUGGAAGAUGAGAACGAUGCUUCUGCGACCCGGGAACAGCUGGACCACCAGAAGCUGCAGAGAGGCUUGGGCCACAUCCUUCCCUAGAGGCUCCAGGCGGAGCUUGGCCCUGCAGGCAUCUUGGUGUCAGACGUCUGGUCUCCAGAACGGUGAGCUCCAAUGCACGGGUGUUGUUUCAAGCCACCCACUGUGGACUUCCCAUGGCAGCUCUUGGAAGCAGUGUUGUUCCAUCCAACCUGACUGGCUGAGGACCUCAGUGAGUGGACUCAUCCCUUGAAGUGGCAGGGAGGUCACUCAGCUGCUGGCAGUUUCAGGAGGCCCAUCUGAGGCCCACACGUUCUAAGCCAUCAUGCCAUGGGCCUCCUGGGCAUGGGCCUUUCUGAAUGGGAAAGAAAUCUGCCUUCCCAGGGUGAACCACUCCUCUGCUGGGAUUUGGCGCGCAUUCAUGCAUCGGUAUCUGUGACUUGCCUGACCCAGCGCAUUGGCAUCCUUAGUAAAAGUUCGCUCGGAGGACCUCAGCAGUGUGGGCUUUGUGAUGAGCCCUGGUGGCUCUCCAGGGGCCACAUCAUAGAUCCUGGCAAGCACCCCCACCCCAGGCCACACCUUGGUGAGAUGUGUUUGAACGGGCUGCUUUUGGAAAAGAACUAGUUGGGGUACAAUAUGGUGAUCGAAUUAAGGCACCUUUUAUCCAGUGAGCCCAGACCAAGCCUCGUGACCCUCAGCGCGGCUCCAGGCAGUAACAGGUGUUACGCUCAGAUGGCCAGCACACUGAGGCACAUUUGCCAUUCUUUUCUGGUCUCUGUUAGCUUACUGCGAAACUUUAGGAAGUUUAUUCAACUUCUCUAAUCCUCAAAGUCAUCAUCUGUAAAGGAUUUUUACAAUAAGAAAAUAUAAAAAUAUGUAGGGUGUGCACAUAGGGGUGAUAAACUUCAAUGAGAAGAAAAUACCUGUCCUCUUAUAAUCUCUUUCUACCAGGACCCACCCAGAACUGGGAUCCCAACAGGGCUGAAAAGGGAAACAUAACACCAAAAUUGAAUCAAGAUGCUCACUGAUAUCCAACAAGUGUACUGUGAUAUAAUGCUACAGUUAGUACAUCAAGGCUACUUUUCAGCUGAAUAGCAUUUUAACAUGAGUGCUUAAGCUAUUAAUAAGAAGAGACUAGCUACUGUUAGCAAUUCGGAUCCCCACUCUAGGAAAGAGAGGCCAGCAUGCUGACUCUUGGUGUGGACUGUGUGGCACUUGGGGGGGUGGAGUGUGGCGUCCAGGAGAGAUGCUUGGGCCUGGCUCUCAGAGGGAAUGCUUGCUGGGAGGCAUCUGCCUUCACCAAGGGCUCCAGGGUCGGAGCCAAAUAGCGGUCUUGAAACCAAGGGGGACAGGAGAAAGGCCACCACCCCUGCCCAAGGACUGGCCCUGCCAAAGACUAAGACUCGAAAAGAUAGUGUUUCGGGCUAAAAUCCCUGCACUUGCUGGUAAGCACUUCCCUUCUUGGUGACACUCUGCAAAAACUCAAACCAUUUUCUCUAAAGCACCCCAAGGCCUCAUUCCCUCGUCCCAUGACACCCAACCCUCGCCUACACUCACCUGCCAUCGAUUAAGCAACCAAGAGUGGCUCCAGAUCAGGGAGCUGGCCUGCUGUGUCAGGAACACAGGGUCCGGAGGCUGGGAUGCGGGUGGAGAGGGCAGCCUCACGUGCCGUCCACCUGACUUCUGUCUGUAGGACGACGACAUUGGACCAGAUGGGCCAGGUUCCUUUGGGGUUUCCCAUCCUCCGAUUAACAGAUCACAUCCAGUCUUCUCCGGACCCAGGUUCCCGCGAAUGACCUUACAAAAGUGGUGGAGAAGCCCAGGAGUGUGUGUGCUCAGCUUCACUCUGAUUUCUUUCAGGGGCCUCCCCGAUGUCCUUUAAGAUAAACCAGCUUUCUUGGAGGCACAGGGAACAGCGUUAAUUUGCAUCCUUUCUUUAAACAUACAAGAGGAUACUGUUCAGGUUAAACAAAUGAACACGACAUGUGACUGCCUCCCAUGAUUUGCAACCCAAGAAAUUUGUUUAAUAAGCCUCUCUUUCCAAGCUACUUUUGUGACAUUAGAGACCAUUUACAACAAAGCUGUCUUCAGUAGUCAGACUUAAUCCUCACUACCCUGCCUUUGGGAAAAGAAGGGAUUUUACAACGAUCACAUAAAACCUUGUGUGGUUUGAAAGCCCCAAACUCCGGACAAACGUGUGAGGGGUCGUGUAACAAAAGAAACAAGACGGAGCUUGUUUUACAUCCGGUUUUCUUUAAGGAGAGCAUCUCCAGUGGAGAGCUUCGCCAAUUAACACAUUGAUUUUCUCAGCCCUGGUGUUCUCAGUAAGGUUGGUGCCCAGAGCUAGCCGGAGUCAGCACCUUGAACCUGGGUGGUGCAGCCAACCAGCAUGUGAGGGCAGGAGCACGAGCGUUCUAGAGGAGGGCAGAGGGGACCCUCAGGACCUGGGGGUGGGCACCCCUUGUCUCUGCUGACGCGCUGAUCUGCACUAGUCGCCAGCAGAGCUGAGGCACGGUGGUGUGGUUGCAGCAGAAAGAACUUCUACGGGUGGGUGAGUGGAGGGGAAGGGAGAGGCUUCCGGCUGCACCCUCAGGCAGAGGGGGGUGGGGGUGCUGGUGCAGCCUUACCUGGAAGAUUGUGUGUGCCCAGCUCUUUCAUUCCAACGAAGAGGCAAAAUAUCUUUCUGCCCAGGAGCCCCCAGAAUCUUUUUAGCUUCUCUUGAUAUCUAGAACCCCGAGGCAGCGCAGUCUUCCAUUCAAGACUUUUCCGGAGACCUCCUCUAGCUGGCCUGCUUGCCGCAGGGCCGGAGAUGCUGCAUUUCAUUGGACUUGUGGCCACGCCCCUGGUAAUCACAGUUGAGUGGGAUAGGUGGAUGAGGAAAUGGAGUUUGCAAUCUGAAACAGAGCCUGGGGUGUGGGGGUGCAGAAGAAGGCCCCUCGCUGCAGCGAAGAUCCCCUGUGUGCCUGGCCCUGUGCUGGGAGUGCCCUGUGCAGGGAGCAGACAUGCUGAGCAGCCAGGCACCUGCUGGCGCUGAGGGUGAUGUGAGGAGAGGCCCGAAAGGCCAUGAAUGACAGUGUCUUCUGGGGGGACCCUCUAGAGGUAAAGCACCACUGUUUUUUUCUGGAAUUUGGAUCCAGUUGUCCAGUAAUUGUUGGACAAAGAUCAUCCCAAAACUACUCUAGCUCUUCCUUCUGCAAUGUGCACGGAAUACGCAGGAACCAGUGAGUGCAAGUCAGCUCUUCCCACGGGUAUGCCUGUGGGUAGACUGCCUGGAGAACUGCUUCUGCAAAUGCAAAUGCUUUGGAGGACGCUCUUUCCACCCCCGAGGUGCACCGUGGGUCACUCGAGGAUUUCGUUAGCCGUUGGCCCUCUUGAAAGCGGCUCCUUCACUCAUUAUAAAGUGUUUUUGAUCCAUUUUCGGGAAGGGCUUUGUUUGUAGCACAUUGUUGGCAGUUUGGACAGAAUCUUUUAAGUGGUGUGAAGUGCUGGGGAGCAUGCACCUGGGCUGCCAGGAAGGAGCCCCCCCACCCCAACCUCGGCCCUUCUGAGAGGCGCCAGACCCGCCUGGGUUUUGGGGACUUGGAAAUUAAAGCAAGAGACUUGGGGAUUUGAUGCUGAGAUUGUGGUUUGUCCUCAUUCACGUCUGCCUGGGAAACUACAAAUGAGAAAUCAGACCAGAAAGCUGGCCAUACCAAGUGUUCUGUCUCAGCCUCCAAAACACCAGUCUGAAGACAGAAAAGCGGUGCAUCCCCUCCGAGGGAACUUCUUCGAUCUCGCCUCGGCGCACGGAGGCAUUGAUUUCAAGUAACAUGAGGCGAAGGUGGGAAGAGUGAUAACCAGGUGGGCAAAAUUCGUGGUGAGAAUACUGCCGGUGACUGUCCGAGCAGCUGGCCCUUUAUCCGUUAGCAUGAGGUGACCCAGUUUAAUCUGGAGAGUCAGGAAUGACAGAAAGUGAAGUCCUGGGAGUGGUCCCUCUGUCUGUCCCACCAGCAACUACUGGAAACGAAGACUUCUCUGGUCCAGGAGCUGCUGGGCAGGAACAGACAGAGUUCUCAUUCCUGGGGUGAGGUGUUGUGAAGCUUGAGUGGGUCACUCCCCAUGCAAGGGCCUUUGGCAAUUGUCAGGACUCUUUAUUUUCAUUUUAUUGAAGUAGAGUUGCUUGACAAUCUUAUGAUAACCUGCGGCACAACAAAGUGAUUCGGUCAUACGUGCACACGCAUCCAUUCUCUUUCAGAUUCUUUUCCCAUACAGAUCAUCACAGAGUAUUGGGCAGACUUCCUGUGCGACACAGCGGGUCCCCGUUGGCCAACCAUUCCCUAGCCCUCAGUGUGCCUAUGCCAAUCCCAAACCCCCAGUCCAUCCCUUCCUCCACCAGCCCCCUUUGGAAAGCAUAAGUUUGUUUUCAAAAUCUGUGAGUCUUUUUCUGUUCUGCAAAUAAGUUCAUUCCUAUCCUUUUUUUUUUUUUCUUAAGAUUCUACAUAUAAUGUCAGGGCUCUUUCUGAUGUAAAUAGGGAGGCGAAGCCCAAAGGGCUUUCAUCUGCAGGUCCUGCAGUCCUGCUCAGAGAAGCGGAGGGAGGAGGGCUCCAGGACAGAGACCUGUCAGCUCUCCUCUCUUCUUCGCCCCAGCAAUGACCCACGUCUCUACCUAUGACCCCAGCAUUGCGUCUAUUCAGCUCUGCUUCCCCGGAGAUGAAACAAAUUCUCUCUCCCAGCUUCCCCUGGAAAAACUCGUAGGGAAGGACUCUGAUUGGCCCGGCACAGGUGACUAUGACAACCACUGGACCAAUCACAGUGGCCGGGGGGGAAUAAGGUGCCAUCCCAGGGGAUGCGUGUACCUCUGUGGUCAGGAGAACAGGUGUGAUGGGGCGGAUUACUGUGAGGUAGGGAGCAACCAAGUGGUACCCAGCCUGCUCACAGAGAUGGGUCACCUACUGUGUGCCUGGCUAGGGCUCUGCACCGCAUGCUCACAUGCCAUCACAUGCCAUCUCGUCAGUCGUCACAGCUCCUCCUCAUCAGUCCCAUCUCCUCCUUGGCAGUAGAGAUGGCCUCUGUUGUUAAAUAAAUGCUCAGGUGGAUGUGACUCUGUGCAGUGGAGACUUCUAUAAAGUCUGUGGCCAAGGGGACAUGCACGUGUCAUGUGGCUGGACUGCAGAGACAACUUGGUGCCAGCCCAGGAUGCUCUCCUAGAGUCGGACCCCCUCCCCCCACCGAAGCCCAGCAAAGCCUUGCCAAAUCGUGCCUCAAUUCUUUGUUUUAGGAAUUAAUCUUAAUUAGCACUUUAUUGGAUUCUCUAACCCACUCAAGCCCUAGAAGGAUAGGACUCAUAGAAGUUAAUGUAACAAUAAUUACGGCUGGUUAUUAUUGAUGGCUUAUUAAAUAGCCGUCCCAGGGCUGGGUUCCUGAUGCUCGUCAUCUGCUUGAAUCCUCACAAUAACCACAUAAGGGAGAUAAUAUUAUCACAGUUUCGUAAAUGAGGAAACAGUGGUUGGGUAGUUUGCCAAGGUCACACAGCAGUGAAUGCUAGAAUUGUUAUGCCUUGGUUUACUGUGUCUUGGACUUGAAGAAGCAGUAUGAGAUUGAGAAUGCAUCACUGAGCUUCGUGGGGAGGGCGCGUUCCAGGCUCUCUUCUUCAAGCUCUGCUGUCUCCAUUAGACCAAUGCGGCAAAUCUCCCAUCAGUCAUCCUGCUGGACCCAACAGCUUCUUCCUGGGUGGACGUUCAGUUAUUUCCUGCUGUGGCACCAAGCACAGACCAUGUGUCUCUGGUGCCAUUGUAGCCAUCUUUGCUAGGAUGGGGUCCUAUAGAGGUAAAGAGAAAUGGCCCAAACUAUACUGUUGACCCUGGAUGCAGCCAGACCUGAAGGUAACCACCCCGGACUUCUCAUUUCUGUGUGACAGUGCAUCCUUUGGUUUAAAUAAACAAGUUUGUGUUGUGUUUCUGUCACUUUAAGCAGGAGUCGUGAGCAUUGCUGGGGUCCCCCGGACACCACACUACCUGUUCUUGCGUGUGUCAUCCUUCUAAAAACUCACACGCUUGUGUCAUCCUUCUAAAAACUCACACGCUUGUGAGAUGGACAUCAUUACAUCCGUUUCAUGGAGCAGAAAGUGAGGAUUAAAAGAGGUCAAGUUACUUGUCCAGAGCUACUCAGCAAUGAAAUGGCAGAGCUAGGGCUUGUACAGCGUUAUUGAUCCCCAAGGAUCAAUAUUCCUAAAGAUAUUCCCAGUUCCUAAGAAUGUAGGAUGGGGCGGGGAGCAGAGGAUAAAGGAAAGAGGAGAGAGAAAGGAGGGAGGAAGGGAGCGAGCAGGAGGGAGAGACACAGAGAAAAGACUGUUCGCAGUUUUGAAUUGAGGAAUUUAAAAUCUUUUGGUGGCAAGUUAUGAUGGUGUAUUUCUAGGGCUUAGGAAUUUUAUCCUGCUAUUUGUUCUUCAAAUAAAAGAAUCAGAGUUGCUGACUUAGUUUAAACCAACUCCAAAGACUGCAGAGUUGACUGCUGAUUAAAAACUUGUCUUUCUUGGUCUGAGAGAGGAAUAGCAGCUAUGACUUCCCUGGAUGUGUUGCAUCUUGCAAAUGUGAUUUUCAUUUGUAGCACUUGAGAAUACCAAUGAUUGGAAACAUGUAACUUGAUUAUUAACAAGCUAGAAAUAGGAACAGAGUAUUCGCUUUGGCAUCUACCCGUGCUCGUGUGAUAAAAAUAAAUUGGAAGACGUCUAAAUAGGAAAUUAAAGGUGAUUUGGGCAUCAUUAGUCUGGCAGCUUUUCUGUCACCCCAUAUAUACCAGGGAGCCCAUGAGCUAAUUCCAAAGUCUAAUGGGCUCCUAGAUGAACGGAACCUCUAGACGGUAGCAAAUGUGAAAGGUCACAUUGGACUCAAUGAGCUUUGCCAUCUGUGAAUUGAACCUGAAUCUUUCAAGAAGGAAACAGAAUUCCGGCCGUUUUACUUCGGCUCUCUUUCGGAGGCGUGCCGUCAUUUUUAAUGGAUAAACCUCUACUGCACUGCCUUUUUCAAAUCCUCGUGGUUUCAUUUUCUCUCAGUUCUACCAUCUAAAACUUUUUGCCGUACUCAUCUUCCCUGCUUAUUUGCUCCUUCGUACAUAUUCUGCAGCCAAAACCCUCUGCUUGCAGAGCCUCCUGGAGGACGGAUGCUGGGGAUGGGGUUGUGUUCAGGAAGGAAGGGGCCAGGCUCGUCUAACCUUGUUAGCCACAAAAAAGAUUUUCAGAUUCCCAUCGACUUAGAAAUGAAGCUGUCGGAAUUGGGUUCAAGCCUGCAUCUUGCAUCAGUGGAAAUGGGUAUUGUGAUUGCUGUGUUGAAAUGUGUGCUCAAAUGCAUUGGGGUUUUAUACUAUUUCUCAAACUUCCACAUAGAUAAUGUCAGACCGUUUCUGAAAUGGGAUACUAUCAUCAAGAUAUACGGCACCAAUCAGCAGGCAUCCGGCCGAGCAGAGGGAGCAGGAGGGUCUAGGAGACUGCUGGAGAAUUUCCAUUUUCCAUUCCCUGUGUCAACAGCUUGGCAACUCCCCUCCUAGAUUGCUUUAUGGCUUCGGGAGAAUUUCUCCGUCAGCCCCUGGGCCAUCCUCAGCUCCAUGUUCAAAAGCCAAGGAAUUAGAUGUGCUGUCAUUUACAAAACUGUUUAUGAAAGUAUCUCUUUUGAAUUGUUCAAAAAUCCAAAAGGCGUCAAACUCUGACAGUUUAAGACGACGGCAAGAAGGGCCCUGGUGAUCUCCGGCGUACAGCCUCCGCCGUUUGAGGCUCUCUUGUUGAAAAUGCAAUUUCUUUUUUGAGGAUUUCUUCCAGCCUGCGAUGCUUCCUUGGAAACUUUGCCUUUUUGAAAGGCUCUCUUCCCUACGAGGCAGCUGACAGAGGUCAUAUUACGAAUAUGUUGCUGGGAUGAUAACAUUUUGAUUAGAUAUGCAAGGAUCUUCUAUCCUUCCCUAGGAUGUCGUAUGCUAACAUUUUUCAUUAUUUUAAGAAAAUCAUGUAAGUCGAUACCAUGCUGCAAUAAGAACUUGAAUUUUGUGGCUUA